AACUGUUUAUAUCAUCUCAGCUGAGUCAAUACAUUAUAAUGUAUUAAAAUGGAAAGGUACAAAAUUGAAAUAAAUACUUUCUGAUUCAUGUAUAAAUCUUUUUUUUUUGUCAAGAUGACUUUUAUCGUCAGUACAUGUCACAAGAAAACAUUUAAAAUGACACUGAAACAAUCAUUUAAAUCAUGGUGCAUGGAGGAAAAAGGUAAAGAAAAUAACUUUUGGCUUGUUUUGGCAUGAGACCUUGAUACGAUUUGGGUUCCCCAAAACCACGUGAAGGGUGGUAAAAUAGAAAUGCUCAAAACUGACUUAAAAAAAUAAACAGGCUUUACAAAAACCCUCUUUGUGAUUAACCCAGCCACUUCUCUACAUGGUCUGCGCUUACAGUAGAUACAUUCAUUAUUGUCCAUGGGAAGACAGCAACUGCCUUUCGUUUUAAAGAGCUUGGUGGAGAGGCUGAAGAAAUACGCUGCAGCUGAAGGUGGGGAGAAUGCUCAGGAGAACAAAAAGUCUAGAUGGUCCUCAGGAAUGGCACCGAGAGUGAGGGGGUGCGGAGGGUCUCUGGAACAAGAGGUGGAAGGGAGGGAGCGUGAGGAGUCCAGAUCUGAAGCAAAGCAAGUCUGAAGGUCGUCAGGAGUGACAGUGUGGGGUGGGGAUCUCUCCAUCCGAGCAGUUCUGGGUUUACCCUCAACCUGGGAACAUUUCUGGUUCAGCAAGAGGGGCUGGGACUCUCCUCAGGCACAAUAGCAGGGGGAAGACGGGACAGGUAUAGCGCUUCACAAUGAAUGCCACCAAAGGGGCUUUCUCUUCGGGUUCUGACUGCUUAUUAGGUGGUUGUUAAGGCAAUAAGGACUUGAGCAAACUAGAAGUUAAGGGCAGCUAAAUUCAGCCAGAUUGAAGGUAAACAAAAGGUGAGAAGAAGUCCCUUUCUCCUCAGCUACCUUUCCCCCCAAGCACAGGAGGCCCCGGAAUUUACAGUACACGAGUAGCAGAGGGCGUGCCCUUUGAAAGGCUCCAUGGAAAAGAAGGCUCUUCCCUGACUUGGGGCAACUUGACUGAAGUUUCUACUCUCCAGACUCUCUUUCCCAAGGUCCUCUCAGGAGGGCAGGCUGUGGGCACCCAGCUGUUGAGUCAAAAGUGGCAGCACCUAGGUUUGUGCAGAGUUGGGGCAAGUCCUUUGCUAUAGACUAUCUGGCCCAUCUCAAAAACCUUGAACACCACGCAUCCUGGAAAGCCAGGCCUGAUGCUCACAGGUCCCAGUGAGACUUGUGUUCGGCUGGAGGCAGGACUAGCCAGGGCUCAGUAAUGUUCCCCCCACAUCAGAUAAAAUGACAGCUGCAAAGCCCAUGAGAAUGUGAGGUCCUUGCAAGGCUUGUGAGCCCCUGAGUGGGCCCUUAAAGGAAUGAAAGAAGCUCCUUUGACUUAACUCAACUCACAGGAAAUACAAAAGACUGAACAAAAUAGAUGGAAGACACGUUUCCCUUCUCCUUGUACUGGAGUGAAGGAGACGGGCCUCAGGAUGCUAUGGGAAGGAUAAACCUUGAGAGUGGCCUGCCAUUCUGAGUAGACUUCUGGCAGGAUCCUGGGUGCUAUGCCUGCCGAGGCCCUAGAAUUGAAGAACUGGCUCUGAGGCCAUUGCUAAAAGGUACAACUACUUACUCCAGCAAAUGACCCACAUGUGAGCUCAAUGAAUAAGAUAGACAUCCCUUUCAUCCUGUGGUCUAGAUAGCAGUCUAAUGCAAGAACUCUCCAUGAGAUGCCUGGGGCUAAGGAUGCAAUGGCUGUGCUCUAGUUACUCAAGACCACCUCAAAAAGGGGCAGUCAUGGGGCCAAUAUGUGAUGAAGCAGAAAUGCCAGUUGUAAUGGCCAGCUGUCUGGGGACCAGUGCCCUGCCUGACCUUUCUCUGAUUGAACCUGUCUUGCUUUGGUCCUAAGAAAAGUGAGCAACAUUCCAUCCAGGAAUCCAAGGGUUACAAUACGAGAUCCAUAAUGAAGCAAAUACGAUCAUCAAGCUGUGGGCAUAUAGAUGAAACAAGACAGGCCAUGAGCUGAAGUCGAUUAGUAGGUCUACGGGACUUCAUUGUACAAGUCUACUUUAAUAUGUGUUCAAAUAUCUGCUUUGAAAUCAUCCACAGUACAAAACAAGGUUCCUUGGACAUUAUGUAGCUUCAUCCCUCAUUUGACAGACAGACCCCCAUGGCAAAGUGCCCAAAGUCACACAGGGAGUUACUGCAGAGCCAGUACUGGAACACAGAACUCUCUCUGCAGGGAUUAGGAUAUUUUGUUGGAUUUUUACAUUCUUAAAUCAAUGUCAAGUUCUUCAGCUCUGCUCUUCCCGUUGGGCAAGCAGGAUUUUUUAAAACCCUGCCAAUGAGCCUCAAAAAAAUAUAACAGCAACAGUACCCAUAAAGCCACAAGGGGGCGCUUUCCCCCCAGUGCUCUCUUCAGUCCCAACAUUUCAAAGGGAGACCGCCAACCCCAACCCCUAAGGUUUAACUUUAAUGGAAUAAAGCAGUCACUGUAACCGCUUCUUCAGGGUAACCAUCACCAGGAAGAGCAUUUAGUUUCCUUUCUGGGCCCCUGGUUGUGUUCCCUUUUCUCUGGAGCCUGAUUGAGGGCCUAGUGCAGGAGGAGCGCGUCCAAUUUAUGACAAGCGUAGGGGUGAUAAGGGCCAGAAUCACAGCCACUUCAGGACCUAAAGCCCUUUAAAAAUCUUUAACUCUGGUUACUUGAUCUUUUUAGAGAAAGAGCACUGUAAUAUCACUGGAAUCAAAGACUUUUCUCUAUUUAAUAAGAAAAAGACAUUUAAGUACUGGAGGCUGAGGGGAAAGGGAGGCAGGACUCGCUGGGUCCUUCUCAGUGAUGACACUAAUAGGGAAUCAAGGGGCCUCGCUAGCAAGGAGUUUUUCCAAAGAAAAACAGACCAGAUAAGCCAGGUGCUUCUAAGUUCCUGUGAGGGGAAGGUGAGGUCAGGAGGCUUGCGCUGAAUUUAGAAGAAUGACACCCAAGGAAGUUCCCGGAGCCACCAUUUAGUAUGAGGAAAACACACCUCGGGCUCUGGUGACUCAGUUGAGAUGAAAGUUAGCAGAGAGAGAUGCAUAUUUUUUUUAAAAAAAAGGAGACGGAGGAAUUUAUGGUAAAAUUAUGAAGACGUGCUUUGACUAAAAAGUUUUGGACUUUAUGAAAUAGACCAUUAAAAGGAGCUGUGGAAUAUUCUUCUGGAGAGAUCAGGUGCCUUGGGAAUGGAAGACACCCAAGAAACUUGGAAAGGCAGAAGGAGAGAUGGGGUGGCUGGGUGGAUGGACAGAGCACUCCAAUUAUUUAGAAAAACCUAUGCUAGCAAGAGAGUUAGUAAGAGCAGGCUAUAGAUGUCAAUUUUGCUGCUUCUUAUCCUAAUUGUUCCUCCAUGUUCUUCAAAAAUACAGGUAAAUAAGACAUCAGCUCAGUUUUUAUUCAAAAUCCGAACCCUCGUAACUUGGCUUACAGAGAGCUGAGCUGGAGUGGGGGCAGUAUAUAUGUUGUGUCCACAGUGAGAAAGCAAACGCUUCUCUUUCCCACGGACUCCUAUAAAACAUGAGGUUCACCAUGUCUGAAUUUCACGAAUUAGAAGAGGGACUCUGCACUAGUGGGCCUAAGGAGAGGGAUAGAAGAGCACUGUGAUGCAGGAUCGGAUUCUGGCUCUGCUCAUUUCUAACCGUGCUUCUUCAGGAAAAUUGCUUCAUCUCUCUCUGGGCUUUGGGUUCCUCAUCUGUAAAGGGAGGAGACUGGUCCACAAGAGCCUUAAGAUCCUCUCUGACAUUCAGAAUCUGUGGUUCUAGAGACGUGAGUAUCAGUCUGGACUAGACACAAGGUAGGGGCUGAAUUCUAGGAUCAUAGUGUCUACUAGCCUUGCAUCCAAAAAGAAUAAAUCUUGCUUCUGGAGAGAGUGAGUAAAUUUUCUAAUGGGUCUCUUGGGAGUCCUGACUAAUGUCACUGGGAAGGGGUGGGGAAGAGGCUCACGUCAAAUAAGGUCACGUUCAUGCUGCUUCAUCUGGUAAAUUCUGGCCUUGGAAGAGCCAGGCAGGAGUGGAGCAGUACCUGCCAUGUCUCUGGAGUCCUGCCCCUUUACAGUCAACCUUGACUCUGAGGAAAAGUAACAAGUGCCAUCAAACCUAAUGAAAAUUUCAAUAUAUUUUGAAAGAUGUCCACUAGCAAUGGUCAGUAGUGAGAUCAAUGCUAUGGUCACAUACAUCCCAGGAUGAAGGGCCCAUGACAAGAUGCUUGUGAAGCAUUUGAGCUCUGAGGUCUUCCCUCUUAAGAGUGAGAAAGGCAGUACGUGUUCCACCUUGUUGGCUGUCAGGAUUGACCUCUCACUGCAGAACCAAGGAGCCUGAAGACCUUGAAGGACUGCUCUGUCUCCAGAUUUGAGGAGGAAGCAAAGACCUAUUUGGAGACAGGUGCACUGUUUCUGCCAAAAGACCAGUGUCUGCAACACCACGAAUACUGAGAAUACAGGUGCUUCUGAUAUGAACUGUGUAUGUUGCUUUGAAGCAAGGUGGGGUGCACCUAUCAGAGGUUUUGUUGGGAAAAUGUAAAAUAGACAAUUUCAUGUGUCUAAGGCCCAUGGAUUCUGACUCCAGGGGAGAGAAGCUCAAUUCCACUCACCAGAAAUAUUGUCUACCAACCCCACCUCCUUCCCAGCUGUGCAGAAGCUACCUAGCCGAAGAGACAACUUUGGAUGCUAGGGCACUCUCACACCAGAAUAGCUGGUGCCUUUUCAACUAUGUCUUUCUCCUGAGCAGGCCCAGAUGUCCUGCGGAGGAAUGAGGAUGCUUCCAGCAUGGUCUGCAAACACACAGCAAUGAACCUCUUAGGUAGUUAAAGACCCACUCUUGCUCUAAGUGCAUUGAAGACUCAAGAAAGCAUAGUUGCCCUCCCCCUGCAAAAAUGUUUUCACUUCCUCAUCUUACAUAUGGUGAAACUGGGGCACAAGGAAGGACAAAUAAUUUUUCUGCAGCUCUCAUAUUGACCUAGUGACACACCUGGGAGGAAAACUCAGGAUCUCUCUCUCUCUCUCUCUCUCUCUCUCUCCUUCAAUAUCUUCCAUUACCUUUCUGCUUAAUUCACAUUUAAAGUCUGUCUGCUUGCCUAUCUAUCUAUACUAUAUUAUAUGUACUAUUAUGUAUAAAAUAUAAAUAAUUCUUAGAUUUCUGCUUAACUUCCUGUCCUUUCUCCUCCUUUGUAUAACUAGGUUUUUUGGGGAGGAUGGGGGGGAAAGUUCCGUGGGAAGGGAAAACCACAGUACUGCUCAAAGGAAUAGACCUCUGGAAGGAGAGAUGACAGCCUUUGUCUAUGGGGCAGGUGGAGGUGGGGGGGCUUCAGAUCUGGACUGUACAGCAAAUUAAAUGGAACACAACUCAACGGAAAUUGGCAAUGGAGACAUCUGUGCCAGACGAAGUGAACUUCCACAACCUGGUUUUAAGGAACAGUCAAUACAAUAGAGAUAGAUAGAUACACUAUGUUGAAUCUUGAGUAAUAAAACAAGUUAUCAAUAGAGUUAUGCUAACAUAAAGACGGACAUCAUAGGGAAUAGUCUGGUCAACAACCAAUCACCAUUAGAAUCAAAAAGUAAACCGGCCUUUUCACUGAGUACCUCCACGACGUUUCUCAAUGCACUAAGCACAUUUUAACCAUGCAAAAAUACACAAACAUCUUAACUAGGUUGUUUUUGUUUUGUUUUUUUGUAAAAAAAAUCAAACACCAACAUUAUGCAUUUUUGUUAAUUAUAUUGGUUAAAGUAACAGCCAGUGGCUGCCAAAUAUCAGAUACAUCAUAUACAUAUUUUUAUACAGAAUCCGGACAACACAACAUUACACAUCAGAGAGAGAAAGAGAGAAAAAGAGAAAGAUAUUAUUUGUUCCUUUGUGGGUUUGUUGUUGUUGUUCAGUAAAAAAAAAAUAUGAGAAGCAAUGCUAAGAAGGAAAACACUUCAACAAGUUAGGAAUACAUAGGGAGGAUUGCUAACCAGAAAUACAGGAGGAAAAGAGUUCAUAGUUAGGUCUGUGUCUAGAAUUUUCUUCACUAAGAAACAAAAGAGCACAACAGGUGUAUUGGUUUGGAAAAGCAGAAAGAGCGAUAACAUCAUGCUGUCUGGGUCCAGCACGUUUCCAGCAAGAAGAAAAAAAAAUCAUAAUCACAAAUUAAUUUCACAAGUUUUGUUUUCAAAAAUGUCCUCCCUUACCCAGGAAGCUGGGUAGUGCACGGGUGGGGACAGCUCAGUUUAGACAGUCCUUGGCAAAGGUUUGGCCAAAACCGUUGGCCUCAAAUUAGUUGGAGAUAUGAGCUGUUUGUGGGAAUUCGCGCAAUGAAAUGUGACGUCGGCUUGCUCCAGUCUAGGCAAGUUUUCCCGUUGCCAGCCAGUGGUCUGGUGGAGGAAGGACACAACCCCGUGACAGGCUCUGCUAGCCAGGCCCCAGUCCUGCCCCUUAAACAUUUGGCAUCAACACAAUCCUAAGAAUUCAACCUGGAAAGAAACAAGACCUUGAACACAAGCUAUGGAAGCACUACCAUGGUCACGGCUAGAUACAAAAAUGUGAAAAUUCAGAUGUAAUCAAAAAUACAAAAUCAGUUUCAAUAAGGUUUGCUUUUUUUUUUUUGUUAACCAUUACAGUGCAAGGUUUUUCAAAUUACAGUAGAAGUUAUGUGUCUGCUUACAGUAACUAGAAUAAGUAGCUGAUUUUGUUCUGCUCGAGUCAGAGGUCCCUGAUAAGUGAGAAUGCACCAAUCUGAAAUCAACCCAGCACAAGAAAUGGAUAUGCAAACACAAACACAGUUCACUACGGUCUUUAAACCUUCAAACAGCAACAAAAGAAUGGUGCCAUUUGGACAACUCAUUAGCACGAGGUCCUUCCUCCAUUAAAAAUUAAUAAUAAAUACAUGGUAUUAAAAUUCCAACAAGAAAAGGACUGGAAAUCUGGGGCUGAAGGGUGGAGUAUCUGAAGGGAGUCUUCCCAUCUCACUGAGCUUUCGCAUUGUUCUUAAAAACAAAGAGCAGUGUGUCAGCGUGAGCCCCUUUGGGCAAUGCUGCUUUGUGCUUUGGCUCCCCAUCCCAGGAAACCAGGAUGAAGCUCACGGCCCAUUGUGCCAUCUAGAUCACCCCCAGGAGGGGAAAAUGGAACUAUUAAACCAGAACUGGGGGCCCAAAGCGGGCAAGGACUGGGGAGCCUACAUCUGGCAAAAGGAUGGCCCUUGUCAAGGCCAUUGUGCCUCUCAGAGCCUCGGAUUCUGCCAAGGAUGGCGAGAACAGAGUCAGGAACCCCAGAUUACAUCUGAGAAAAAGCGCCAUCAUUCCUUCAGAGCCAUUGGUUUGGGAGUGGGCAAGAGGCUGAAAGAGAGCAAUGUGGCUAAAUGAAGUGACCAGGUAACAGUCUUCCUAACCAUGCUGUGGGACAUGAAGAGAAAGCAAGGGUGAACAAGGAUUCAUCCUCUUUUGAGAUUCGUAAAGCCAACCAGUCUGGGAUGGGUUAGGAGGUGGGCAAGACCCACUGGAGAGCCUCAGGAGUCCUCUCUGUGUUCAGGGGAAGGAGUGGAGCAUGGGGGUUGGCCACCUUGACAUCAAGCCAGAAUGCUGUGGAGGCCACACUGAGCUCCUAUUCUUCACACAGCCCCUCUCUAGCCCCUUCCUGGUGCCCAAACCCACAAAAACCACUCUGACCCAUUUGACUGCCCCCUUAUUUAGUCCCUCUGAGUGCCUCCUAACGGUGGGGGCAAACUCUUCCCAGGUUUGCUUACAUUGAAAAGGGACUAUUUAGACAGCCAGGGGUUGUUAUCUAGGGCCUGGGAUCCGCCAGGGCUGCAUAAGUGUGGGUAGCACCCUCUCCCAUUCCUCUGGGAUGUGGCCAGGUGGUUGGAUCCACCUGCCUCACACAAAGGACCUGCAUAGGUGAACAAACCCUUUACUCACACCUACACCCUGAGAAAGGGAAGAAACAAAUUCCUUUGCCAUGUUGGAAAGCUUUCCUGCCUUUGAAAUAGAGUGAGGUGCUAUGAGCCCAGUUGGCGCUAAAUUAUUUGGUUAUAAUCUGGCCAUUGGAGGAAAUAUGGGCUUCCUCUAUUACAAUACACUUAAACUGCUGGACAGCAACAACAAAAAAGAGGUUAGACUAGGAAGCAAAAAAAAAUUACCUUCAAGAUCUAUAUUUUGAGUAUGCUUAUUAGGAUGGUGAGAAAUUGGCUUCAUGCUUUCUUUGAAAGCAAGAACAAACUAUAGUUGAAUUAACUUAGGAGAUGUUCAUCUUUGAUUUAAAGAAGAUCUCCCUGGGUUCUUACGCUCAUAAAAUUAAGAUGGGUUCAAAGGCGAGGAGAUAACUUUUUUUCUCUUAGUGGUUCAAAGUUCACAGUCCGGAGGCAACUCAGAGCUCCAUAGAUGUUAUGUUGGAUGACUAGAUGUACUGAUGACAGACAUUUAGGAUGGGAAGGGACUUUGGGGAAUGUCAUCUUCAGGUUGCAGAAAAGUUAACUGUGCUUGAGCUGGUGUAUGGGUUGGUGAUGGAUCCAGUGCUCCUGCUGCUGCACCUGGAUUUCAGAGGGUCGUGACCUGGCUCGGAGGGGAGCAGGUGUGGAGGCCAGUUCUCCAUGGUCCUGUGAUGCAACAGCAUAGCUUCCAUGCUGUCACUCAGCCAUGCCUAGAGAAAAGUGCUAGAUAAACCACUGGUGAACUUUUAGUGGUCCAGUUUGUUGAACUGAACUAGGAGAUUAAGGAAUCAGUAAUAUUUCUUAAAGAUUAAAACCCCACUAAUUCUCAUCACUGUGAAACAGUGAGGAUUUAAAACUACCACCUAUUGACAUAAUCUGUAGCCAUAAAACUUACUUGGAAAUUAGCAUGUAGUGUUUUGGAAAAGUGAUGAAUACAAUAGAUGUGAUAUGUCUUAACUUCAGAAACUCUUUUGAUAACUCACCUCAAGACAUAUCUCAACAUUCACCAUGAGAAUUUUUCUUAGGGGGAAUUAAAAUUUCAUUGUUGGCCUACAGAGGCCUUAUAGCAGUGUUCUUCAGGGAUUGGUGCAGGAAUUCUCAUUUUAUAGGGAAUCUUUGGAGGUUUUUUGACUGAUACAAGGCUGUGUUUACCCCAUGUCAUACUAUUGUGCCCCAUUUCUCUCUUGGCUGCUCCUAAGAGAAUGUCCUUAUCUUUUAUUCUCUGUAACCAAUGUAUAUGUUCAUAGCUUAUUGCUUAACCUGUAACUCUGUAAGUCUAUAAACUCAGGAUGGAGGCAUGUGUUCUGUGGACAUAAAGAAAUGAUGGUUAAAAACAAUAGCUAAGAUGCUGGGCUUCAGGACUUUCAUGUCUCCAGGAGGCAAGACAGUAAAGGGGUCUGCUAUGUUUGUGUCCCCCCAAAUUCAUAUGUUGAAGCCCAAAUCCCCAAUGUGGUGGUAUUUAGAGGUGGGGUCCUUGAGAGAUAAUUGGGCUUAGAUAAGGUCACGAGGGUGUAGUCCCCAUAAUGGGAUUAGUUCCCUU